rnacentral:rRNA from 2 species
AGGAUCCGUUCAGGUGGGCUCUGGGUUUAGGACGACUUCAUAGCGAGGUGGGAGAUAGGAAUUCCUGGUGUAGCGGUGGAAUGCGCAGAUAUCAGGAGGAACACCGAUGGCGAAGGCAGAUCUCUGGGCCGUAACUGACGCUGAGGAGCGAAAGCGUGGGGAGCGAACAGGAUUAGAUACCCUGGUAGUCCACGCCGUAAACGUUGGGCGCUAGAUGUAGGGACCUUUCCACGGUUUCUGUGUCGUAGCUAACGCAUUAAGCGCCCCGCCUGGGGAGUACGGCCGCAAGGCUAAAACUCAAAGGAAUUGACGGGGGCCCGCACAAGCGGCGGAGCAUGCGGAUUAAUUCGAUGCAACGCGAAGAACCUUACCAAGGCUUGACAUACACCGGAAACGGCCAGAGAUGGUCGCCCCCUUGUGGUCGGUGUACAGGUGGUGCAUGGUUGUCGUCAGCUCGUGUCGUGAGAUGUUGGGUUAAGUCCCGCAACGAGCGCAACCCUCGUUCUAUGUUGCCAGCGCGUUAUGGCGGGGACUCAUAGGAGACUGCCGGGGUCAACUCGGAGGAAGGUGGGGAUGACGUCAAAUCAUCAUGCCCCUUAUGUCUUGGGCUUCACGCAUGCUACAAUGGCCGGUACAAAGGGCUGCGAUACCGUAAGGUGGAGCGAAUCCCAAAAGCCG